GUGGCCGUAGCGCAGUCGGUCAGCGCGCCGGGUUGUGGCCCCGGAGGCCGUCGGUUCGAUCCCGACCGGUCACC
rnacentral:tRNA from 1 species